AACGUCGUGAGACAGUUCGGUCCCUAUCCGUCGUGGGCGUAGGAAAUUUGAGAGGAGCUGUCCUUAGUACGAGAGGACCGGGAUGGACAUACCUCUGGUGUACCAGUUGUCGUGCCAACGGCAUAGCUGGGUAGCUAUGUAUGGACGGGAUAAGUGCUGAAAGCAUCUAAGCAUGAAGCCCCCCUCAAGAUGAGAUUUCCCAACUUCGGUUAUAAGAUCCCUCAAAGAUGAUGAGGUUAAUAGGUUCGAGGUGGAAGCAUGGUGACAUGUGGAGCUGACGA
rnacentral:rRNA from 1 species